UACGUAGGGUGCAAGCGUUGUCCGGAAUUAUUGGGCGUAAAGAGCUCGUAGGCGGUCUGUCGCGUCGGCUGUGAAAACUCGGGGCUCAACCCCGAGCCUGCAGUCGAUACGGGCAGACUAGAGUGCUGUAGGGGAGACUGGAAUUCCUGGUGUAGCGGUGAAAUGCGCAGAUAUCAGGAGGAACACCGAUGGCGAAGGCAGUGGUCUGGGCCGAUACUGACGCUGAGGAGCGAAAGCGUGGGGAGCGAACAGG
rnacentral:rRNA from 1 species